GAUGAACGCUAGCUACAGGCUUAACACAUGCAAGUCGAGGGGCAGCAUGAACAAAGCUUGCUUUGUUUGAUGGCGACCGGCGCACGGGCGCGUAACACGUAUCCAAUCUGCCCGCGGCUCGGGGAUAGCCCAUCGAAAGAUGGAUUAAUACCCGAUGGCGUGGUUUCUCCGCAUGGAGUUUCCACUAAAGGUUUUCCGGCCGCGGAUGAGGAUGCGUAUGAUUAGGUAGUAGGCGGGGUAACGGCCCACCUAGCCUUCGAUCAUUAGGGGUUCGGAGUGGAAGGUCCCCCACACUGGAACUGAGACACGGGCCAGACUCCUACGGGAGGCAGCAGUGAGGAAUAUUGGUCAAUGGGCGAGAGCCUGAACCAGCCAAGUAGCGUGAAGGAAGACUGCCCUAUGGGUUGUAAACUUCUUUUGUUCGGGAAUAAAGUGCAGUAUGUAUACUGUUUUGUAUGUACCGUUCGAAUAAGCAUCGGCUAAUUCCGUGCCAGCCGCCGCCGUAACAC
rnacentral:rRNA from 1 species